AGAGUUUGAUCAUGGCUCAGGAUGAACGCUAGCGGCAGGCUUAAUACAUGCAAGUCGAGGGGCAGCAUGAGUGUAGCAAUACACUUGAUGGCGACCGGCAAACGGGUGCGGAACACGUACAGAACCUUCCUUCGAGCGGGGAAUAGCCCAGAGAAAUUUGGAUUAAUACCCCAUAGUAUAUUGAAGAGGCAUCUCUUUAAUAUUAAAGAUUUAUCACUUGAAGAUGGCUGUGCGGCUGAUUAGGUAGUUGGCGGGGUAACGGCCCACCAAGCCUACGAUCAGUAACUGGUGUGAGAGCACGACCAGUCACACGGGCACUGAGACACGGGCCCGACUCCUACGGGAGGCAGCAGUAAGGAAUAUUGGGCAAUGGAGGCAACUCUGACCCAGCCAUGCCGCGUGGAGGAUGAAGGCCCUCUGGGUUGUAAACUUCUUUUAUAUGGGACGAAAAAGGGCCUUUCUAGGUCAACUGACGGUACCAUUUGAAUAAGCACCGGCUAACUCCGUGCCAGCAGCCGCGGUAAUACGGAGGGUGCAAGCGUUAUCCGGAUUUACUGGGUUUAAAGGGUGCGUAGGUGGAUUGGUAAGUCAGUGGUGAAAUCUCCGGGCUUAACUCGGAAACUGCCAUUGAUACUAUCAGUCUUGAAUAUUGUGGAGGUCAGCGGAAUAUGUCAUGUAGCGGUGAAAUGCUUAGAUAUGACAUAGAACACCAAUUGCGAAGGC
rnacentral:rRNA from 1 species